rnacentral:rRNA from 1 species
AGGAUAAACGCUGGCGGCGUGCAUGAGACAUGCAAGUCGAACGGACGAUCAGGGCUUGCUCUGAUCGUUAGUGGCGGACGGCUGAGUAACGCGUAGGUGACCUGCCCCGAAGUGGGGAAUAACUGCCCGAAAGGGUGGCUAAUACCGCAUGUGGUGGUGUGUUCAAUCACACCAGUAAAGCCGCAAGGCGCUUCGGGAGGGGCCUGCGUCCGAUUAGCUCGUUGGUGGGGUAACGGCUCACCAAGGCGACGAUCGGUAGGUGGUCUGAGAGGACGAUCACCCAGACUGGGACUGAGACACGGCCCAGACUCCUACGGGAGGCAGCAGUCGGGAAUUUUGCGCAAUGGACGAAAGUCUGACGCAGCAACGCCGCGUGAGGGAUGAAGGCCUUCGGGUUGUAAACCUCUUUUAUCAGGGAAGAUAAUGACGGUACCUGAUGAAUAAGUCACGGCUAACUACGUGCCAGCAGCCGC